rnacentral:rRNA from 1 species
AUUGAACGCUGGCGGCAGGCUUAACACAUGCAAGUCGAGCGAGCGGCGGACGGGUGAGUAAUGUCUGGGAAACUGCCUGAUCGAGGGGUAUAACUACUGGAACCGGUAGCUAAUCCCGCAUACCAUCAGAUGUGCCCAGAUGGGAUUAUCUAGUAGGUGGGGUAAUGGCUUACCUAGGCGACGAUCCCUAGCUGGCCUGAGAGGAUGACCAGCCAAACUGGAACUGAGACACGGCCCAGACUCCUACGGGAGGCAGCAGUGGGGAAUAUUGCACAAGGGGCGAAAGCCUGAUGCAGCCAUGCCGCGUGUGUGAAGAAGGCCUUCGGGUUGUAAAGCACGUUCAGAGGGGAGGCGUUACCCGCAGAAGAAGCAACGGCUAACUCCGUGCCAGCAGCCGCGGUAAUAC